CUCAAGGCAAAUUGCACCCCUUGCUUGACUCCUUGAAUGCUGUCUCCAGCCUUCAAUUGGGCACAGUAUUUUUUUUCAAGGUGCAUGAGGCUCCUCUCCUCUGCAGUGAGGAGGCAGAGUGAAAGCACUUCAGGAGGACAGAGGUCUCACAGGGUCUUUAAAAAGAAGAUGGUCAAACUGGAGAAGACUAAAGAGCAGAAAGCCAGUUGAAGGUAGCUGAGGAAGCAUGGACUACAUCAAUCAAACCAACCUAUAGGAAUUUUGGUCCAUGUUCCUGCCAACUAGGAUUACUCCUUAGUGUACAUUUUCAAGUGAUUUGUCCAAUCAAGUGAAAUCAAAAGCCUCACGUGGGCAAAAACACUGCCUAGAAUUUUUUUUUUAAAUGAUUAGCUGCUUGAGUUCCGUAAACUCAAAGUGUAAAUAAUAUAAGAUUAUAUACUGGACUCGUGUUAUUAGCU